AACGAACGCUGGCGGCGUGCCUAACACAUGCAAGUCGAGCGAGAACGUCUCCUUCGGGAGAUUAGUAAAGCGGCGCACGGGUGAGUAACACGUAGGUAACCUACCUUGGUGUCUGGGAUAACCUGUCGAAAGAUGGGCUAAUACCGGAUAAGCUCACGGGAGUUGCGGCUCCUGUGGGAAAAGAUGGCCUCUUCUUGAAAGCUAUCGCUCCGAGAUGGGCCUGCGGGCCAUUAGCUUGUUGGUGAGGUAACGGCUCACCAAGGCUCAGAUGGCUAGCUGGUCUGAGAGGAUGAUCAGCCACACUGGGACUGAGACACGGCCCAUACUCCUACGGGAGGCAGCAGUAGGGAAUUUUGCGCAAUGGGCGAAAGCCUGACGCAGCAACACCGCGUGAGCGAUGAAGCCUUUUGGGGUGUAAAGCUCUGUCAGUAGGGACGAAAAAGUGACGGUACCUACAGAGGAAGCAUCGGCUAACUACGUG
rnacentral:rRNA from 1 species